AAGGCGCGCGAGAGGGAGCCGCUUCGAUCCCGUACUUGCUGGAGCCUGCCAGGAGCACGCUCAGCGGCGGUCCGGGUCCUUGCGUCCCAGCCGCGGCCCGCACCCCGCACCCCGCACCCCGCUGCCCCGCUCCUCCCGCUCCUCCUCCUUCUCCUCCUCUUCUUCCUCCGCCUCCCGGGCCACCCCGCGUCCCCUCCUUAGGCAGCUGCUAGGCUUGGGCAGCAGCAGCAGUCCCCAGCCCCAACUCAGCUACAUCCCCAACUCCUGGGAAGCGCGCCUCGCCCCAUCCUUUCUUCUCCUUUCCUUCCUUCCCUCCCUCACGCCCGCCCGCCCUCUUCAGGUCUCCCUCCCGGUCCCGGUCGCCUGCCUCCGUCCCGGCUCCGUCGGCCCCCGCCUGGCCCCGGCUCUCGCGCGCACUUCCUGAGUCGCGGGCCGCCGCCGCCCGGGGAAGGCAGCAGUGGGCGAGCGCGCCCUCGCCCAGCCCCGCGCCCCAGCCCUGCCCGGCGAGGAAGGACCGGGAAGAUGAACAACGGCGGCAAAGCCGAGAAGGAGAACACCCCCAGCGAAGCCAACCUGCAGGAGGAAGAGGUCCGGACCCUAUUUGUCAGUGGUCUUCCUCUGGAUAUCAAACCUCGGGAGCUCUAUUUGCUUUUCAGACCAUUUAAGGGCUAUGAGGGUUCUCUUAUAAAGCUCACAUCUAAGCAGCCUGUAGGUUUUGUCAGUUUUGACAGUCGCUCAGAAGCAGAAGCUGCAAAGAAUGCUUUGAAUGGCAUCCGCUUCGAUCCUGAAAUUCCGCAAACACUACGACUAGAGUUUGCUAAAGCAAACACGAAGAUGGCCAAGAACAAACUAGUAGGGACUCCAAAUCCCAGUACUCCUCUGCCCAACACUGUACCUCAGUUCAUUGCCAGAGAGCCAUAUGAGCUCACAGUGCCUGCACUUUACCCCAGUAGCCCUGAAGUGUGGGCCCCGUACCCUCUGUACCCAGCGGAGUUAGCGCCUGCUCUACCUCCUCCUGCUUUCACCUAUCCCGCUUCACUGCAUGCUCAGAUGCGCUGGCUCCCUCCCUCCGAGGCUACUUCUCAGGGCUGGAAGUCCCGUCAGUUCUGCUGAAUGCUGUGUCCCAGGUGUGUGAUGGCGGCUGCAAUCUGUCUUGUGGGUAUUAAUGCGCUCUUCACUGGUGGCGACUGUUCUCCAGCUGUUCUGCAAAACUGGAGCGUGCUGGGCCUAUAAAAAUUUGAAGAUGAGUCAGAAGGAGGGCAAAAUUCCUGCUAAGGACAGAAGACCAGGCAGUGCUGACCAAGGAGGCCAUCAGCACAUUUCGGGGCGAUUGAAAAAAAACCUUGCCCAGCUUUGAUCCCUUCAAGACUUUGCCACAGCCUCUAUCACACAUCUGUUUUUCUCGAAGAAAAAAUAUAAUAAAAAUGUUUUACUCAUUUACACUGUAUAAUUGUAAGAAAUAGUGUGUUAUUUGUGAAUGCAUGAUCUGACAUUCAUUUCUAUACAUUUAGAGAUAUUUUCAAGCAAAACAUAGAAAUCAACAAUAAAACCAAGAAAGUGAGUAUUUUUAUACCAAACAUUUUAAGUAUGAUGGGAUGAUUCUUAACACUGGGUUGGACCACAUUUGUGCUUGACUUUUGAAUGCUUGUAAUUAUAUCUAUUUUUUCUGUCUAAAAUAAGCUGCAUGUUUGAGGCAUGUUUCUAAAUAGUAUCAACUUCAAGAACAGUAUUGUGAAUGUAUUGAAUCUGUUUGCCUGGUCUGAGUCCAGAGUCCAUAUGUGAUGUGGUAGAGGUAGAACUGUUCUCCCCAGUCCUGGAUGUGCAAUCCCAGAUCCCAUAGGAUGUCCCUGCAAGACAAUCCAGGCCUCCAGGAGCUUCUGCCUAUUGGUGUACUCACAGCUGGGCAAAGAACUCUUUGGUCACAGUUCCUGCCCAGAAAGUGCCCUUAGAAAAAGCCCCUGGUACGUCCAGCUGUGCCUAUGCAAACUGUGUGCCAAAGUGUUUUUGGUUCUGCAGUCUUAUGUUCAUCUUCUGGCAGCAUUCACCUGUGUCACACCCCGAUGCAUCACUCGCUUUCCAUAAGCUGUCCUCACCCUCGAAGGUGGAACUGCAGAGUCCGUUCCAGGGUGAGAAGACCUUGGCUUGGAGCCAGCCUUCCCUUGGGAGAAGUUGGCUUCACCCAGCCCACUUGGCUGCAGUGGGCAGCACACAUCUCGCAAGUGAUUUGGCAAACCAUUGGUCAAGCCAUGUUUAAUGUUCCAAAGUUUUGGCAACACCAUGCUAGAGAGACAUCGGUCACAUGCUCUUGAAUCUGGUGUGCUCACUGUGAGACUGCCUUCGGCACAGGCACAGGAGGACCUGAUGAUGUAACCAGAGGCCAUGUGCAAUGAAUAUUGUUCUUCUUCAAGAUUUUGUCAAAGCCAGUCGGUCUUGUUUUGCAUUGACACAUUUCCAGAGUCUGACAACCUAGCCUCUUGCCCUCCCCUAUGUAAGAGCCAUGUGUAAAAUUAAAUGACCUAAGAAUUCUCAAUGGCUGAUAUAGCUAGAUGUGAUCACAGUCUUUAUUGAUAUGCUCACAUGUUGAAAAAUGUUUUAAUGAUUACAUGAUGGGUUUGGGGUUUUAUUAUUUUUCAUUAGAAAUAAUAAGUUUUUAAAGGUGAUCCUAAAAAAAAAAAAAAGGCCAGGAGUGAGGAACUCUUACCAUAAAUACGAGAAAAGGGGGGCAGGCAUCAGGUUGGGGACUUCUCAUUCAAGGACCUGCUUAUGCCCUCAGUUCUGCUUGGCUCUUGGAGAGACUCCUGAACUUGAUUCUAAGGAAAACAGAGCCACUUUGUGGUCCAUUAUGCUUUUAUAAACUGUUUAAAGGUACUUUUCUAUUGUCAUUUUUAAAAAAUAAAAGUGUAAUCCAGCUGUCA